rnacentral:rRNA from 1 species
GAUGAACGCUAGCUACAGGCUUAACACAUGCCAGUCGCGGGGCAGCAUGGGGGUUGCUUGCAAUCCCCGAUGGCGACCGGCGCACGGGUGAGUAACGCGUAUCCAACCUGCCCUUCACCACGGGAUAACCCGGCGAAAGUCGGACUAAUACCGUAUGUUGUCCAUUGACGGCAUCCGAUUUGGACGAAAGGUUUGGCGGUGAAGGAUGGGGAUGCGUCCGAUUAGCUGGACGGCGGGGUGACGGCCCACCGUGGCGACGAUCGGUAGGGGUUCUGAGAGGAAGGUCCCCCACACUGGAACUGAGACACGGUCCAGACUCCUACGGGAGGCAGCAGUGAGGAAUAUUGGUCAAUGGGCGUAAGCCUGAACCAGCCAAGUAGCGUGCAGGAGGACGGCCCUAUGGGUUGUAAACUGCUUUUAUGCGGGGAUAAAGUGGCCCACGUGUGGGUUUUUGCAGGUACCGCAUGAAUAAGGACCGGCUAAUUCCGUG